rnacentral:rRNA from 1 species
GAUGAACGCUGGCGGCGUGCCUAAUACAUGCAAGUCGAGCGAAUGGAUUAAGAGCUUGCUCUUAUGAAGUUAGCGGCGGACGGGUGAGUAACACGUGGGUAACCUGCCCAUAAGACUGGGAUAACUCCGGGAAACCGGGGCUAAUACCGGAUAACAUUUUGAACCGCAUGGUUCGAAAUUGAAAGGCGGCUUCGGCUGUCACUUAUGGAUGGACCCGCGUCGCAUUAGCUAGUCGGUGUGGUAACGGCUCACCAAGGCAACGAUGCGUAGCCGACCUGAGAGGGUGAUCGGCCACACUGGGACUGAGACACGGCCCAGACUCCUACGGGAGGCAGCAGUGGGGAAUCUUCCGCAAUGGACGAAAGUCUGACGGAGCAACGCCGCGUGAGUGUUGAAGGCUUUCGGGUCGUAAAACUCUGUUGUUAGGGAAGAACAAGUGCUAGUUGAAUAAGCUGGCACCUUGACGGUACCUAACCAGAAAGCCACGGCUAACUACGUGCCAGCCGCCGCAGUAA